UAGGUUUUAAAAAAAUGAUUACUCGACGUUGGAUCGAGGUUUUGGUCUUGUUUUGAAAUGGUUAUCGGGUAUUCAUUUUAUUUCUUGUAUUAACAGAUGAAUAGAGAAUGAAAAAAUAUUAUACAUUUCAUGGGAGAGGGAUACAUUUGUUAUGAAUGGGGGUUGACAUGGUAAUCAAGCAAUAUAAAUAUAUGCCUCAUACACCAUACAAGUAGGCAACAGUUAAUCAACAAUAAGAUAUUUAAGCAAGUAUAUAAUCGAAUCAAAUAAUCAAAGAAUGAAAUAAUGAAGCAUUAAACAAUGUAUGAGUGUAAGUGUAAGGGAACCGGCUCAUUGUAAGAAAGCCCAAGAGUAAGCUAUGUGAGGUUGAUGGCGAUGCUUAAAAAGCAAUCGACUUACAAGGGUGUAAAAUGGGCUCGAUAUUAAAUCGAGAAAAGUAUGAUUUUUAUAGUUUAAAAAAUGGUUUUGAACUAAACUAAAAUACAACAACUAUGCAUUAUUAACAAAUGAAAUCAUGAGUAUAAUAAACAUAAAAAAGAUAUUAAUCAACAUACUAAAAGAAUAAAAAAUGCUAAAGGAAGAUAAAAUCAAAUAAAAAGCAAAAAGUACCACACAUUAGUAUCGAACCCUCUCCACUUAAUAUUAUGAAA
rnacentral:lncRNA from 1 species